rnacentral:rRNA from 1 species
GACGAACCGUCCAAACGUUAUUCGGAAUUACUGGGCUUAAAGGGUGCGUAGGCGGUGCGGAAAGUAGAGCGUGAAAUCCCUCGGCUUAACCGAGGAACUGCGUCCUAAACUACCGUGCUCGAGGGAGAUAGAGGUGAGCGGAACUUAGGGUGGAGCGGUGAAAUGCGUUGAUAUCCUAAGGAACACCGGUGGCGAAAGCGGCUCACUGGAUCUCUUCUGACGCUGAUGCACGAAAGCUAGGGUAGCGAACGGG